rnacentral:rRNA from 1 species
UACAUGGGGUGCAAACGUUGCUCGGAAUUAUUGGGCGUAAAGCGCACGUAGGCGGUUUGUUAAGUCGGAUGUGAAAUCCCUCGGCUCAAACUGAGGGAAGUGCAUCCGAAAACUGGCAGGCUUGAGUACUAAAGAGGGUCGCGGAAAUUCCCGGUGUAGAGGUGAAAUUCGUAGAUAUCGGGAGGAACACCGGUGGCGAAGGCGGCGACCUGGGUAGAUACUGACGCUGAGGUGCGAAAGCGUGGGGAGCAAACAGG